GAUGAACGCUGGCGGCGUGCCUAAUACAUGCAAGUCGAGCGAACAGAUGAGGAGCUUGCUCCUCUGACGUUAGCGGCGGACGGGUGAGUAACACGUGGAUAACCUACCUAUAAGACUGGGAUAACUUCGGGAAACCGGAGCUAAUACCGGAUAAUAUAUUGAACCGCAUGGUUCAAUAGUGAAAGACGGUUUUGCUGUCACUUAUAGAUGGAUCCGCGCCGCAUUAGCUAGUUGGUAAGGUAACGGCUUACCAAGGCAACGAUGCGUAGCCGACCUGAGAGGGUGAUCGGCCACACUGGAACUGAGACACGGUCCAGACUCCUACGGGAGGCAGCAGUAGGGAAUCUUGCGCAAUGGGCGAAAGCCUGACGGGGCAACGCCGCGUGAGUGAUGAAGGUCUUCGGAUCGUAAAGCUCUGUUAUUAGGGAAGAACAAAUGUGUAAGUAACUAUGCACGUCUUGACGGUACCUAAUCAGAAAGCAACGGCUAACUACGUG
rnacentral:rRNA from 1 species